rnacentral:rRNA from 1 species
CCUACGGGCGGCAGCAGUGAGGAAUAUUGGUCAAUGGACGAGAGUCUGAACCAGCCAAGUAGCGUGAAGGAUGACUGCCCUAUGGGUUGUAAACUUCUUUUAUAUGGGAAUAAAAUGUUCCACGUGUGGGAUUUUGUAUGUACCAUAUGAAUAAGGAUCGGCUAACUCCGUGCCAGCAGCCGCGGUAAUACGGAGGAUCCGAGCGUUAUCCGGAUUUAUUGGGUUUAAAGGGAGCGUAGGUGGAUUGUUAAGUCAGUUGUGAAAGUUUGCGGCUCAACCGUAAAAUUGCAGUUGAAACUGGCAGUCUUGAGUACAGUAGAGGUGGGCGGAAUUCGUGGUGUAGCGGUGAAAUGCUUAGAUAUCACGAAGAACUACGAUUGCGAAGGCAGUUCACUGGACUGCAACUGACACUGAGGCUCGAAAGUGUGGGUAUCAAACAGGAUUAGAUACCCGGGUAGUC